ensembl:lncRNA
GAGAGGAAGGCUCAGCCAUUGCUUCAGAAGUGAGGGGAGUUAGACCGAAACCACUUCCAACCAGCCUUAUAGGUGCCAAGCGAAGGAUAUACCAUGUUCUUUGAAAUAUUAACAAUAACCUUUCUGAAAUUUUGGGGACAUCUGCCUUUUUCUAUGUCAUGUAGCCUGUGAGUCCUGGCCCUCUUAAGAAUAUUAAAAUUGUAGACAAUACUAAAAUAUAUAUAGUNNNNNNNNNNNNNNNNNNNNNNAUUUUUUUUUCUUCACUCUUUAAGGGAAAGAACAGAAGGGAACCCCCAAUAUCAAGGUCAAGUCAGAGCCCCCCUCCAGCUGCGGCCCAAAAAUGUAUCUCUUUGGCCCCUCUUUCCCACCAUACAGUGAGGCAGAAACUUCUUCCUCAUCUUUUAGAGAAACCAUUUUUCUCCUCCAAAGACCUCCUCCCCUUGUUCCUGGUAAAGGCCAGAGUGGCUGCAGUUGGCAGGACCAAAUGUUCACACUCCUUGCUCUACAGACACCAUGGAUAGCCUGCACAGCCAGGGGCAGACAAGGGCCCCCUACAUUCCUGUCCCAGAGCCCAGCAGUCCUACCGCCUACCCCCUCUUCUCUCAGAGUCAAAGCUCACAGCCUGGCCAGGUCAGGAGAGCCUGACGGGCAAAUUCACACUCAAGUGUUAAUGGCAACUGUGGCAUUAAUGAAAACGACCAAGCUGNNNNNNNNNNNNNNNNNNNNNNNNNNNNNNNNNNNNNNNNNNNNNNNNNNNNNNNNNNNNNNNNNNNNNNNNNNNNNNNNNNNNNNNNNNNNNNNNNNNUUAAUGGCAACUGUGGCAUUAAUGAAAAUGACCAAGCUGACCAGGGUCUUGGCAAAUGCUUUUAAUAUUUUUUAACUUGUUAGGAAAGAUUUUCUCUUCCUAGCCAGGGUGCCCUCACAAGCUCCAGUACUGUAUUUCAGAUUUGAGGCUAUGAAUUUAGCUUUGAUAAAAAUAUAUCAAGGAAACUUCUACUCACCUCAAGGGCUCUGAAAACGUGGGCGUGGAGAGAGUAGAAAGUGCUCGGCUCUGGUCUAGCGCUGCCUUUUCCUGCUCUGUGAUGCUUAGCACACCUGGCCUGCCUCUCUCUGUGAAGAGUUGUUGGCGGGUGUGUGUGUGGCUAGGUGACUCUUAGGGCUCAACACUGUCCGCAUGAGGCCCUCCUUGGGGACUGGACCCCUCUGAAGGCACUGUCUCCAACCUGUCCCCCAGCGCAGGUCUCUAGAUACAAGGGGCUUUUCUGCACUCUGUCCUCUCCCCUCUCUCUCUCCUUGACCAUUCUCCUAACUACCCUGAUGGGCUUCAGUGACCACACAUUUCUGUCAUCUGCUCCUAUGUUCCUAGGGAACUCCAAGUCCAGUUCCUCUUGUUUGCUGGGGGCUUUUCUCAGAUGUCCCACAGGCAACAUAAACUCAUCAAAACCUACCUUUCCUUCCUCCUCACCCGCAAACCCACUGCUGGUCGCUCCAGGCACACGAUGACCCUGCAUAACACUCCUUUUUGACUCUGAUUAUCAGUCUAAUUAGUUGCCAAGUUUUAAUCAAGUUUCCUCCCUAGUCAAAUCUUUCAAUGGCUGCUGCCAACUACCAUGCACUACUGCUCACCCUGGCUUCGGGGUCCUCUUUUACCUCAGUCUCAGAGAGGUCCAGCACCAUGCAUGAGAUCACACAGCAAGUCAGUGACAAAGCCGUUAAUCCCAACACACGGUCUCACUCCCUAAGGGGAUGGCGGUUAUUGGAGUUGGAAUACACACCAAACCUCCCAGAGGCCACCAUUUGUUUAAGUUGCUUCAUCUGUUUACAAUGACUUCUUUUUUAUCCCUGUUUAAAUCCUACUCAUCUGGUCAUUUUUAUUUGCAUAUGUUUUAUAGGGUGAGCUUGUAAUUUCUCUUUAAAUUGCUUUUAUAAUUCAAAAUAAAAAUUUAUGUAUAGGUAUUUUUAACCCCAAUUUUCAAGGCUUGAAUUGUUUCAUUCUUCUGGAACCAUUUUGAGAGUUGUCUGCAAUGUUUAUAAAUCAGGUUGUUAGCAUCCUGCACCCUAACAUGUAAUACAAGAGCUAUCAGUACAUUAGAGAUAUUUUGUUAAUGUUAUACCAGAGUGAGAACCUUUAUACUUUAGUGACUUCAAUGAUAAGAAUUUCCAAAGCCCUGUGGAGGAGGUGACUCCUAUAUUCUCCAGCCACACACUGAGACACAUAACUCGCAGCCAAGCAGAGCAGCCAGGCAGAACCAGAGGGAAAAACUAUCCUAGGCCCAACAACAGAGCAGUUGGCCCCAGGGAAUACUCUUGUUUCUGCUCAAGAUACUGCUUUCCAGAAAUGGUGGAGCCAGAGCCACAGAGAGGGGAAGGAGGUACAGAACAGGCCAGCACAGCCAGAUCCUUGUCCCAGGAUUCUGCCAUCGUUUCUUGGCUGGCUGAUCUUGGAUAAGUCUUUUAAUUUUGCAGGUCUGUUUCCUUGUCUGCAAAAUGAAGGCUGGGUAAGCUCAAGGUUCCUUUCUAGUUGUAAAAGUAACCAGGAUCAUGUUCUGCCUCUCUGAGUCCUGGCUCGCCCUCUAUAGAAGGGGGACAGCAACAAUGACAGAGGAGGAACAGCCUAGAGUCUCCAAUUCUGCAAGCCUGGUGAACAGGUGCCUGGUUUGUCCAAAGGGCCAUUUCUCCUGCUGAAUGUGGAGCACAUGCUCCUGAAGCGAUGUGGCCACAGGGCAGCUGAGGUGUGGGAGGCAGGCUGGACCUUCCACAACUUCCAAAAGGCAGCGCUGCUAGGGAGGAAAACAUCAGAAACCGUCCUCGCCCCUCUUCCAGGGGUCCGCGAGACAGACAGACAGAGCAUUCUCUAGCUGGGAGUCUGCAAUGGCUAGUCAGCCCCAUUCUUUUUUUUUUUUUUUUUUGCGUUUUUCAGACAGAUAUUUUAGUCAACCCCAUUCUUCAUGCAACCAUUGAUGGCCCUGGCCUCCUGAGGAGGGAGAGGGCUGCAGAGAUUAGGUGAAGGGCAGGCCCCACUGACAACCAUAAACACACACAGCGGCUGCUGCCCAUUAGAACAUUUAUUUCUCAGAGAGAAAAUAAGUUUAAGACAGUCAUAUUAUAGUAGGUAAAAUUAACUUUUGUAUUCUUUACAAGCAUAGAUUUUUCUGUUUAUUACCUCUCUUAUACCAUCUGUUAUAAACAAUUCUAGAAAGCAAAUAAAGUUACUUUCUACAAUAAAUAGAGCAUCGUGUGCUUCACAGCAGACGCGACUGAGACACAUAGGCCCCAUGCCACAGCAGGAUCUGAGCCGUUUCCCGUUCUAAAAGAGCAGUUUUAAAAAUGAGACUCAGAGACGGAAAGAUUCAGAGACUAAGAAAAAGAAAAA